rnacentral:rRNA from 1 species
GAUGAACGCUGGCGGCAUGCUUGACACAUGCAAGUCGAACGGGAAGUGGUGUUUCCCGUGGCGAACGGGUGAGUAACGCGUAAGAACCUGCCCUUGGGAGGGGAACAACAACUGGAAACGGUUGCUAAUACCCCGUAGGCUGAGGAGCAAAAGGAGAAAUCCGCCCAAGGAGGGGCUCGCGUCUGAUUAGCUAGUUGGUGAGGUAAUAGCUUACCAAGGCGAUGAUCAGUAGCUGGUCCGAGAGGAUGAUCAGCCACACUGGGACUGAGACACGGCCCAGACUCCUACGGGAGGCAGCAGUGGGGAAUUUUCCGCAAUGGGCGAAAGCCUGACGGAGCAAUGCCGCGUGGAGGUGGAAGGCCUACGGGUCGUCAACUUCUUUUCUCGGAGAAGAAACAAUGACGGUAUCUGAGGAAUAAGCAUCGGCUAACUCUGUG